AUUACGACUUACAUCUUGCAUCGAAAAAUGACAAUAGUCGACUAUAAUUAGUGAAUUUCUUAAUCAGUGGUAUUACAUCUUACGUUGAUACAUUUGUGAAGAGUUUUGUUAUCUACGGCCAGUUGAAAGGCAUUUUAACUAUUAACCGAAGUAUUGAAAUCUUUUAUCAAAAGUCUUAACGUUAACGACAAACGAAUAAAAGAUUGUAUUAGAGUUUAAUUCGAUAUCUUCCAUUGUAUCUUCCAAUAUAAUAAUGUAAAGUUUAUUAACGAGAAGUAGAAUCAUAUAUCUAAUUAAAAAUAAACAACUAAUAGAUUUCGUUCCAUUACAAAGAUAUAUAUACAUACAUUUAUGCGUACACAUUAAAAGUAUUGCUAAUAAAAAAUCAAUAGGAUUAUAGAAAACAUUUCAUUGUAAUUUGAUGCCGAAAAUAACAAAUACCCUUCAAUAAUGUGUAAUUUUUUCUUUUUCUAUCAAGUAUUAAUAUCUUUUUAAUCAAUUUAAACAUUUUUAGUUCAUAAUGUAUCAAUAACAAUAUCAGAUAUUUAAUUUUGGCUCAUUGCAGAACAAAGGUUGCUCGUUACUGUCCAUACAAUAUAAGAAAAUCUCAAGCAAUACCCAAGAGAAAGACUACUGUAUACUUUGUGUAUGUGUGCGUGGGUGUGUAUAUUAUGUAUCUAGUUAUGUACAUAUGUAUCUAUUUACAAACGUAUGUUUAUAUGGGAUCUUCCAACAUUCCACCUUGGUGGUUGCCGAAAGACUGAUCUCAUACGAUAUUCGACAGAAAGUAAAUAACAUAAGGUGGAUUUAGAUAUUUCAGCUUAUAGAGAAACAUAUAAACAUUGUAAUAAGAUUUGCUUUGUAUACGUCAGCUAGUAAAUGGUAUAAACAUUCUCUUUUUCUUUCAGUGUAAUAAUAUUAUAUAUAUAUAUAUUAAAAUUUUU